rnacentral:tRNA from 1 species
GGGUCCUUAGCUCAGCGGGAGAGCAUCUGCCUUACAAGCAGAGGGUCGUAGGUUCAAUCCCUACAGGACCCACCA